rnacentral:rRNA from 1 species
GCAGUCGAACGAACUCUGGUAUUGAUUGGUGCUUGCAUCAUGAUUUACAUUUGAGUGAGUGGCGAACUGGUGAGUAACACGUGGGAAACCUGCCCAGAAGCGGGGGAUAACACCUGGAAACAGAUGCUAAUACCGCAUAACAACUUGGACCGCAUGGUCCGAGUUUGAAAGAUGGCUUCGGCUAUCACUUUUGGAUGGUCCCGCGGCGUAUUAGCUAGAUGGUGAGGUAACGGCUCACCAUGGCAAUGAUACGUAGCCGACCUGAGAGGGUAAUCGGCCACAUUGGGACUGAGACACGGCCCAAACUCCUACGGGAGGCAGCAGUAGGGAAUCUUCCACAAUGGACGAAAGUCUGAUGGAGCAACGCCGCGUGAGUGAAGAAGGGUUUCGGCUCGUAAAACUCUGUUGUUAAAGAAGAACAUAUCUGAGAGUAACUGUUCAGGUAUUGACGGUAUUUAACCAGAAAGCCACGGCUAACUACGUGCCAGCAGCCGCGGUAAUACGUAGGUGGCAAGCGUUGUCCGGAUUUAUUGGGCGUAAAGCGAGCGCAGGCGGUUUUUUAAGUCUGAUGUGAAAGCCUUCGGCUCAACCGAAGAAGUGCAUCGGAAACUGGGAAACUUGAGUGCAGAAGAGGACAGUGGAACUCCAUGUGUAGCGGUGAAAUGCGUAGAUAUAUGGAAGAACACCAGUGGCGAAGGCGGCUGUCUGGUCUGUAACUGACGCUGAGGCUCGAAAGUAUGGGUAGCAAACAGGAUUAGAUACCCUGGUAGUCCAUACCGUAAACGAUGAAUGCUAAGUGUUGGAGGGUUUCCGCCCUUCAGUGCUGCAGCUAACGCAUUAAGCAUUCCGCCUGGGGAGUACGGCCGCAAGGCUGAAACUCAAAGGAAUUGACGGGGGCCCGCACAAGCGGUGGAGCAUGUGGUUUAAUUCGAAGCUACGCGAAGAACCUUACCAGGUCUUGACAUACUAUGCAAAUCUAAGAGAUUAGACGUUCCCUUCGGGGACAUGGAUACAGGUGGUGCAUGGUUGUCGUCAGCUCGUGUCGUGAGAUGUUGGGUUAAGUCCCGCAACGAGCGCAACCCUUAUUAUCAGUUGCCAGCAUUAAGUUGGGCACUCUGGUGAGACUGCCGGUGACAAACCGGAGGAAGGUGGGGAUGACGUCAAAUCAUCAUGCCCCUUAUGACCUGGGCUACACACGUGCUACAAUGGAUGGUACAACGAGUUGCGAACUCGCGAGAGUAAGCUAAUCUCUUAAAGCCAUUCUCAGUUCGGAUUGUAGGCUGCAACUCGCCUACAUGAAGUCGGAAUCGCUAGUAAUCGCGGAUCAGCAUGCCGCGGUGAAUACGUUCCCGGGCCUUGUACACACCGCCCGUCACACCAUGAGAGUUUGUAACACCCAAAGUCGGGGGGUAACC